rnacentral:misc_RNA from 1 species
GCGCGCGCUGACGGCCGCCGCCGCCGCAGCCGCUGUGGACACUGGACGCCCGCACCGGCUGAACCCCGCCGAGCACAGCGACUCCGACGUUCCGCUCCUCACACCGCAGCUAUGGGCUGGCUCGCUGGAGCCGCUGUCACCGGCGUCAUUGUCCUGGCUCUGGCGUCGGCCAACGAGGUCACCUUCUCCACCGCAGCCUUCGAACAGCGCAUCAUCCAGGAGGUCGGAGCGCGGAUGGAGCAGUUCGGCCAGCAGUACCUCAGCCGGAUAGAGCAGCUGCAGGUGGGCACCGCGCGUACGCUCACCCGUGUCGAGGAUAAGCUGGGCCAGCUGCAGGAGCGCGCGCGCGUCUGGGACACCUUCCAGUCGGUGAUCACCUCGUGGACGGACCUGCUGGUCGGCACCGACCGCAAGAUGGACCUCCUCAAAGAGGGCAUUGACCGGACGGUCGAGCUGUAUGAGGACAUCACGCCCUACUCGGCCGUCUCGUAUGCCGUCGAUCAGCUGAACGCCCAGCUGGCCCGCCUGGUGGCCAAAAUACCCGAGUCUUCCGGUGCCAUGGUCAACGACUUCGCCAUCAAAGGCGUCAUGGCCACGCUCCGAGAGCUCAAGACCAAGAUCGAAGGCAUGAACCGACGGAGAUUUGUCAUCAAAAAGGUGGUCAACUCUGUGGAGUCGGAGCCGGGCGUGGUGUCGGCGGGCCCCGGCGCCGACAUCCAGUACCGGGACAUCCAGGACGAGCUGGAGGAGGCCAUCAGCAGCAACAACAUGCUCAACGCCAUCGAGGUGAAGCUGGACAGGAUCGCCGCCGUAGUGACGGAGCGCCGGCCGCCCGAGGUGCACGCCGCCCGCCGCCGAAACUCCACCGAGAGCGUGUUGCGCCAGGCGCGGCCGCGGGUGCACGGCGAGCCGCGCGGCCGCCGCCGCCCGCCGCCGGGACGUCCGCCGCCCACCAGCGCCGCCGCCGCCGCGGCCGGCGUGGACAGCUCCGACGCACCGAGCUGCGACAAACUGCUCAAACAGUGGACUCAGAUGGAGCUCAACUUUGACCAGUUCGAGUCGGUGCGCGAGGCCGUGGGUCGGAUGGAGGACGUGCUCGACUACCGCACCUCCACCAUGGAAGUGAAGCUGGACCGGCUCGAGGACGUCCUGUUCCGACAGGGCUCCAAGCAGGACAAGAGCGACCUCUCGCUGCAGCGCCACCAGGAGGACGUCGUGGCGCGUCUCAAGACCAUCCGGCAGGCCGGCUCCGAGACGGUCGAGGCGUUCCGCAACGUCUCCGACACGACGGCGGCGCUGGCGGCGGGCCUGGGGCAGCACCGGGAGCGCACCGAGCAGCGGCAGGCCAACAUCAGCCGGCUGCUGGCUGAGCUGCACGACCACGGCCGGCAGGCGGCGACCAACUCGUCCCAGGCGCUGCAGGCACUCACCGAGGCGGUCAACAGCACGGCCGUCACCACCAUGGACCGGCUGUUCGCCGCGCUCGACCUGCUGGCCAAGCCGGCGGCCGGCGCGGAGGCGGCGACCGGCACGGCGGCGGCCGGCGGUCACCAGGCGGCCGGCGCGGGCGCGGCGCCCACCCAGCAGCCGCCGCCGCCCGGGCCCGGCCUGCCCGGCCUGCGCGGCUGCGAGGACCUGGCAGAGCUCGGCAUGGAGAGCGACGUGCGCUACCGGUUCGGCGACGCGUUCGGCCCGCCGGUCGGCCUCGACUUCAUGGAGCGCUACUGCGACAUGGACACGGACGACGGAGGGUGGACGGUAAUUCAGCGACGAAAUGAUUUUGGAACGCCAAAGCUAAACUUCAGUCAAACAUGGAAUGCCUACAAACACGGCUUCGGAGACCUGGACAAGGAGUUUUGGUUCGGAAACGAAAACAUCCACAAGCUAACGCACGACCAGGAUGUGACUCUUCGAGUAGAUCUCGAAGACUUUGACGGAAACACCGCCUACGCCAUUUACACCAAGUUUAAGCGAGGACGACGGCUAUUACCUGGAGGUGGCUGGUUACCAUGGGAACGCGUCUGACUCACUGACGUCACACAACCUGAGCAAGUUCUCCACGUGGGACGUGACCAACGACAAGGCGCCGCCCUGCUGUCCCUGCGCCAACGCUUACGGAGGCGGCUGGUGGUUCAACAGCUGUUUCGAGUCCAACUUGAACGGCGAGUACCACACGCGGCCGCGUGACAACGACCACUACCACGGCAUCAUCUGGGAGCUGUGGAAGGGCGACUACUCGCUGAAGUCGUCCGAGAUGAAGGUGCGCGCCAUGUCGUACGUCAGGGAGCCGGCGCUGGCGGACGGGUCGGGCGGCACCGCGCCGCCGUCGCCGCCGCCGGCCGACCCGGCCGGGCCGUCCGGGCAGCUGGGUGUCGGCACGACGAGCGGUCCAGCGCCGACCGCCGCCGAGCCGCCCGUCACCGAGGCCGCUCCGCCGGACGUCAGCACGCCGGUAGAUCUGGGCGUGGAGCCGCUGAACGCGUGAGACGGCCCGCGUACCACAGCCGGCGACCGGGCGGCCGCACCGCGGGCGCCAGAAUCAGCAUACCAUAACACAGACAGGAGCACAGCUCGCUAAAAUGGAACGGAACAGCCCGACAGACGACAACUUUAAUGUAAAUAAGCGUCUUACACCUGUAUCAACACCAUAUACUGUUAUAUCGCGUUUUGCUGACCCUCUUAGGCGUCAUAUUCGUGCGCAUGCAUGUUUUCGCUGUGCGACCUAUUGACAGCCCAUACCAUUUCCGUUAUUACCAUAUCACUGUUUCUAUUAGCCAUGAUAUGCCCAACUUCAACAGGCAGAUCGAGGCAAGUCGAUCGGGUCAAUAAGACCAAGAGAUUUGUCAACUCACUCAUCAGUGUAGCUUUUCAUUGACAUGUUUUGCAUGUUAUUGGUGUUAAACUUGUGCUUAGGUAGCGCACUGUUUAUGAAGAACUUCAUGCCGGUUACGCACAUGUGUCUGAAUCUGAAUAGUGUAUAAAGUAUAGAACAAUC